rnacentral:rRNA from 1 species
GACGAACGCUGGCGGCGUGCUUAACACAUGCAAGUCGAACGGUAAGGCCCUUCGGGGUACACGAGUGGCGAACGGGUGAGUAACACGUGGGUGAUCUGCCCUGCACUUCGGGAUAAGCCUGGGAAACUGGGUCUAAUACCGGAUAGGACCACUGCCUGCAUGGGUGGUGGUGGAAAACUUUUGCGGUGUGGGAUGGGCCCGGGGCCUAUCAGCUUGUUGGUGGGGUGAUGGCCUACCAAGGCGACGACGGGUAGCCGGCCGGAGAGGGUGACCGGCCAAACUGGGACUGAGAUACGGCCCAGACUCCUACGGGAGGCAGCAGUGGGGAAUAGUGCACAAUGGGCGCAAGCCUGAGGCAGCGACGCCGCGUGAGGGAUGACGGCCUUCGGGUUGUAAACCUCUUUCAGCACCGACGAAGCGCAAGUGACGGUAGGUGCAGAAGAAGGACCGGCCAACUACGUGCCAGCCGCCGCCGUAA